GUUGCUGUAGCUCAAUGGAUAGAGCAGAUCCGUCCUAAGGAUAAGGUUGGGGGUUCAAGUCCCUCCAGCAACA
rnacentral:tRNA from 1 species